rnacentral:lncRNA from 1 species
UCCAGUUAGCUCUGCUAUUUAACCAUUCAUUUAUGUGUUAUCAACUGUUCUGCAAAAUAUUUUGUUUGUUGCCUUCCUGAUUUCUUUUCUCUUUUUCUCAGAUAUGUGUACUCUGGAGCUUACUUUUCUAAAUCAAUGGUUCUACUGGAGCAACUAAUACAAUUAUGCAUGAGGGGCAAUGGUAAUUGUGCAGGAUUCAGGAAGGUAAUUUGCAGCUAAUUCAGUUUGGUGCUUGUUGAACUUAUACUACCAAUUAUGGAGUGAUUUUUUUAAUCAGCCUUUUAGUUAUACAUCUCUGCAUUUUACUGUUUUAAAGCUUCAUCUGUUCAUGCUUUCUUUGAGUAAUGCUUCAGCUGUACAAAGACUCAAUAGUUGAAACAUAAACAUGUGUAACAAUAACAACAUAGGACUAACAACAACCUAAAGUACUACAUCCACCAGGGGGUGUUAAAAGGAAGAAGAAAAUACAACAUUGAUUCUUUUCUGUGUUAUUUUUAACAUGUGGUUCAGCUACUACAGAUAUGAGAAGAAGAAAAUGGUACAAUAAUGCUUCUAACUAAAGAAAGAGAAAUGCCUGCCCCACUUCCUUUACUGAAACUGCUUUUAAUGUAUGCACUUUUGUAUGGUAGUAAGUAGUAUAGUUUUGAUCAUUGAUGGUGGUGGUGAUGGUGAUGGUCGCGGUGGUGGUGAUUCUCUACAGAUAUGUUAUAUGUCCUGAUUUGUUUGUUUGGUCAUCUUCAAUUCUUGAGCCAAAAUUGUUUGUUUGAUCUCCUUGAAGUUGUAUGACCUGUAUCCACUCAUUUUAGGCUUUAUCUUAGGAUAAGGAAAAUAUAUGAGGAGAUGGAGAAAGCUAACAUAGGGCCAAAGUCAUGGA